rnacentral:tRNA from 1 species
GCCGGGAUGGCGGAAUUGGUAGACGCAAGGGACUUAAAAUCCCUCGGGCCUAAAAUGCCCGUGCCGGUUCGAGUCCGGCUCUCGGCA